UGCAUAUCAAUAAGCGGAGGAAAAGAAACUAACAAGGAUUCCCAUAGUAACGGCGAGCGAAAUGGGAAAAGCUCAAAUUUUAAAUCUACCGCAAGGUCGAGUUGUAAUUUGAAGAAGCGUUUUCUAUAACCUCAGUUUAGUAUAAAUCCCUGGGGAUAGGGUAUCAUAGAGGGUGAUAAUCCCGUCCGUGACUAAACUUGGGGUUUGUUAUGAUACGCUUUCUAAGAGUCGAGUUGUUUGGGAUUGCAGCUCUAAAUGGGUGGUAAAUAUCACCUAAGGCUAAAUAUAGGCGAGAGACCGAUAGCGAACAAGUACCGUGAGGGAAAGAUGAAAAGAACUUUGAAAAGAGAGUUAAAAGUACGUGAAAUUGUUGAAAGGGAAACGCUUGAAGUCAGUCGUGUUAACGGGUAAUCAAUCCGCGUAAUCACGAGGGUGUAAUUUCCCGUUAACAGGUUAACAUCAAUUCUUUUUGUUAUAAAAAGGUCGGGGGAAUGUGACUUCAGUUUCUGAAGUGUUAUAGCCCUUGAUCAAUAUGAUGAUUAGGAUUGAGGAUCGCAACGAAUACCUUUAGGGCUAAUUACCUGGCCUCUGAAGAUUACCUAACUGUUAUCAGCUUGCUGAUGGUAGUUUACGUGGUUUUUAAUAGGUUAGAGUAUAUUUAAAUUCGUUAAGGAUGUUGACGUA
rnacentral:rRNA from 1 species